ACCCGUUCACAUCUCUCAAUCCACAUUUCUAACCCUGCCUCCCCGCCUUGCAUCCAGGUAGGACUAUGUGACAAGUUCUUGCCAAUGGAAUAUGAUCUGAAAUGAUGUGUGUCAUUUCUUGGCCAAGAUGAGUAAGAAGUGGUGGUACUUUCUAUCUUAUCUGCAAGCUGGAUGUUGUCAAACAGAUGAUCACAGAGGCUACACGUGGAAGGUGGUAGAGCCUCCCACGUUAAGGCUCCAAAUGACAGCAUGGAGCACAGCCUUCCUCACCAACUCAUCUUACCUUCCACUCCUGCCACCCAACCAGGAACAUUUGUUCUGGAUUUCAUAUGAAACUGAUACCAAUUGUUCUGCACACCAUAAAAUGAAGAAAAGCAUGUACCUAGGAGUGUUUCAAUUAUUUCCAAACCCAGUGAAGCCCUCCUACUCAAGCCAGACCGCUGCAUGAACUGAACACAUGAUACUUGAAGAACACAGCACGUGUGAAAAGCUACAACCAAAACUGAAGAUCAAACCUGAAGAUGGGGCCAUCAUCCAUCCAUGGAGCUGUGUACCACACGCUUUACUGGAAGAGGAGUGACUGGCAAAUGAAGUUUUAGAAACUCUCCCAGAGGAAAAGAACAUGACCAAUGACAUCCUCUCUUGAGGCUGGUUGGGAGAUAGUAAAGCACCUCUCUGGUGCCUGGAGAGGGCUGGCUGGCUGCCCAGACCAAUUCUCAAGAGGAGACAUUUAGCACAAUGAUGGAAUUCACUGCUUCCCAAGGAAUGAUACAGACUUGUAGGCUCUUGUCUUAGUUCAUUCAGGCUAGUGUAACAAAUUACCAUAAGCUGAGUAGCUUAAAAACAGCAAACAUUAGUUUCUCAUAGUGCUGGAGCUGGAAAGUUCAAGAUUAAGGUCCUAGCAGAUUCAGUGUCUGAUAGGCCCACUUCCUUGUUCAUAGUGGUCAAGUGGCACAUUCUAGCUGUAUCCAGAAUAGUUUCCCUUCAUGCAAGGGCUAGCUAGCUCUCUCUUCAACUCUCUUCUCUCUGUUUCUCUGUCUCCCCUGUAAACUCCUUCCUCGCAUGGGUCUUUCUGUGUAACCCAGUCUGGCUCUAAACUCUCAAUCCUCCUGCCUUAGCAUCCUGAGUUCUGGUAUUAUAACUGUAGGCCACCAUACUUAGUUUUGAAGUCUCUUUGUUUAGGCACACUAAUCUCAUUCAUGAGGUCUCUGCUUCUGCUCUCAUAAUUUAAUCACCUUCCAACAGUUCCACCUCUUAAUCCUAUCCCAUUAGGAGUUAAGGUUCAGCAUGAGUUAUUUUUUUUGGGGGGGAUACAAACAUUUAGAUCAUAGUAGUCUGAAAUUUUUCAGUG